rnacentral:tRNA from 1 species
AGCCGCGCGGUGAGAGCACACCGAAAUGCAAGUUCGGAGAMCCACCCCUUAGAGGUGCCGGGGCUU